rnacentral:rRNA from 1 species
UGGGGAAUAUUGCACAAUGGGCGCAAGCCUGAUGCAGCGACGCCGCGUGAGGGAUGACGGCCUUCGGGUUGUAAACCUCUUUCAGCAGGGACGAAGCGCAAGUGACGGUACCUGCAGAAGAAGCACCGGCCAACUACGUGCCAGCAGCCGCGGUAAUACGUAGGGUGCGAGCGUUGUCCGGAAUUACUGGGCGUAAAGAGCUCGUAGGCGGUUUGUCGCGUCGUCUGUGAAAUUCUGCAGCUUAACUGCAGGCGUGCAGGCGAUACGGGCAGACUUGAGUACUACAGGGGAGACUGGAAUUCCUGGUGUAGCGGUGAAAUGCGCAGAUAUCAGGAGGAACACCGGUGGCGAAGGCGGGUCUCUGGGUAGUAACUGACGCUGAGGAGCGAAAGCGUGGGUAGCGAACAGGAUUAGAUACCCUGGUAGUCCACGCCGUAAACGGUGGGUACUAGGUGUGGGUUCCAUUUCACGGGAUCCGUGCCGUAGCUAACGCAUUAAGUACCCCGCCUGGGGAGUACGGCCGCAAGGCUAAACUCAAAGGAAUUGACGGGGGUCAUAGCUGUUUU